rnacentral:rRNA from 1 species
GACGAACGCUGGCGGCGUGCUUAACACAUGCAAGUCGAACGGAAAGGCCCUGCUUUUGUGGGGUGCUCGAGUGGCGAACGGGUGAGUAACACGUGAGUAACCUGCCCUUGACUUUGGGAUAACUCCAGGAAACUGGGGCUAAUACCGGAUAGGAGCUCCUGCUGCAUGGUGGGGGUUGGAAAGUUACGGCGGUUGGGGAUGGACUCGCGGCUUACCAGCUUGUUGGUGGGGUAGUGGCUUACCAAGGCUUUGACGGGUAGCCGGCCUGAGAGGGUGGCCGGCCACAUUGGGACUGAGAUACGGCGCAGACUCCUACGGGAGGCAGCAGUGGGGAAUAUUGCACAAUGGGCGGAAGCCUGAUGCAGCAACGCCGCGUGCGGGAUGCCGGCCUUCGGGUUGUAAACCGCUUUCGCCGGUGACGAAGCGUGAGUGACGGUAAUGGGUAAAGAAGCACCGGCUAACUACGUG